GGCUUGGUUGUGUGGACCAUCCCUGCAUUCAGUGAUGUGAUAAUGUUCAAAUUGUAGCAGCAGGAGUCGCUCGUUCGAUUCGAGCCCGAGCCA